UACGUAGGUGGCGAGCGUUAUCCGGAUUUAUUGGGUUUAAAGGGUGCGUAGGCGGUCUUAUAAGUCGGUGGUUAAAGGUAGCAGCUUAACUGUUUUACAUGCCAUCGAAACUGUAGGACUUGAGUUAUCAGGAGGCAGGCGGAAUUUCUGGUGUAGCGGUGAAAUGCAUAGAUACCAGAAGGAACACCUAUUGCGAAGGC
rnacentral:rRNA from 1 species